rnacentral:rRNA from 1 species
GUAGGGUGCGAGCGUUGCCCGGAUUUAUUGGGCGUAAAGGGCGCGCAGGCGGCUACGCACGUCCGUUGUGAAAUCGCUCGGCUCAACUGGGCGGGGUCAGCGGAUACGGCGUAGCUGGAGCAAGCUAGGGGGCAAUGGAAUUCCCGGUGUAGUGGUGGAAUGCGUAGAUAUCGGGAGGAACACCAGUGGCGAAGGCGACUACCUGGAGCUUUGCUGACGCUGAGGCGCGAAAGCGUGGGGAGCGAUCCGGAUUAGAUACCCGGGUAGUCCACGCCGUAAACGAUGCGGACUAGGUGUCGGGGGUAUCGACCCCCUCGGCGCCGCAGCUAACGCAUUAAGUCCGCCGCCUGGGGACUACGGCCGCAAGG